AUAUUUUGAAUUAAGUAUAUUCAUAAUAUGUUAUCAGACGAAUGUUGUUAAAGAUAUAGGUUGAUAUUUAUGAAGGGAAAGAAAAGACUUUCCCAACAAACAUUGCACACAAGGUGGAUAUGGAUUUUUAAAAAGUGCCAUAAAACACUUAUUAUGAAUGAUCCUUCCGCAGGUUCACCUACGGAAA
rnacentral:misc_RNA from 1 species